rnacentral:lncRNA from 1 species
AGAGAGAAGGCAGCCCGGUCCCCCUCAGUGGAAGGGAGUGGCGGUGGGCGGAGGGUGUUGAGGGGACGGUGCCAGCGGCUUGCGGGAAGCCGGGCGAUGCGGGUAGAACGGUGGAGGAGAGGGCAGGGAGGCCGGGGCCUCCCGUGGAACGGAACCGGGGGGUUGGGAGGCUGGGGGCGGCCUGUGUGAAGGGGGCGGGGAGGGAAAGGCUCGCGGCCAGUAGAUGCAGGAGGGAGGAGGGCCUAGAGGGGCUCCGGGCUGGCGGCCUCUGUGAGGAAGGGGAAGGAUAUGGAACCAAGAUCCUUUAAAUCCUGAUGAACUCAUCCGUAAAGCAGAUGCCCAAAGGAUGAUAGUAAGCUUACUGUGACAUAACUCCCGGAGCCGCAGCACGAGCCUUGUGAACCUUGGAAGCCCGUUUUCCGCGCAGUCACUAACUCGCUUAGUCACCCUGUGUAAAAGUUAUUCUGGGAUGACACCUGCCUGGGAAGUCUCACCUUUCCCCCCACCUCCUCCUGUCUGCGUAUUGUUCUGUAGCACCCCGUGCGCACCUUGAUUGUAGCGCUUAAGCAAGGCAAUUUACUUCUAUAGAAGGGUGCGCCCUCACAGAUGGAGCAAUGGUGAGCACACACCUGGACAAGGGAGGCGAAGGGGUUUUUAUUCCUGACGCUUGUGGCACCUGCUGCUGUGUCCUUCCCCUGUUGGCUAAGGUUAGACGGCACAGGCUAAACUAAUUCUGAUUGACUAAUUUAAAGAGAGUGACCGGGUAAGUGGUUUGGUGGGAAAAAUAGUUAUGGCAGAGCAGGAAAUCGGAAUGAGUCAGGGUGGAGAAUGAGUCAGGGCAGAGCAGGUAAUCAGAAUGAGUCAGGGUGGAGCAGGUAGUUGAAAAAGAUUGCUUUACGAGGAAGUUAAGCUUUUUUUGUUUUGUUUUGUUUUUUUUAAUUGAGACAGAGUCUCGCUCUAUAGCCUAGACUGGAGUGCAGUGGCGGCAUCUCGGCUCACUGCAAGCUCUGCCUCCUGGGUUUGCUCCAUUCUCCUGCCUAAGCCUCCCGAGUAGCUGGGACUACAGGUGCCCGCCACCACACCCGGCUUAUUUUUUGUAUUUUUAGUAGAGAUGGAUUUCACCGUGUUAGGAUGGCCUCCAUCUCCUGACUUCAUGAUCUUCCCGCCUCGGCCUCCUGGGAUUACAGGUGUGAGCCACCGCAUCUGGCCAGAAGUUAAGUUUAAAAGUAGAAGACAAAGAAUUGAACAUACUGACAUUGAUUCUUCGAAGAGAAAUUUAGAACUCAUAUCUAACACCAGCCUCCAAUUGAUUGAGCCAAUUCCUUCAAAUAAAUCUCUCUCUGCAAUAUGCAUCCUAUUGGAUCUGUUUCUGUAGGGAAUUCUGAUUAAUAUACCCUUUCAAGGAACAGCUUUGGAAGAUUAAGAUAAUUGUCUGCUUCUGGAACAAAAGACAGGUUUGUUGCUGUUCAGUUUAAUAAAGAGAGUGUCACCUUCUGGGGCAAAGGCUGAGCAUGUUGGCUUGCAGUUCACUGUUCAAGACUGGGCUUUCCUAAACUUGGUGUACCUGGGCGGUAAAACCAAUCACAUGUGCAGCAUCCACCUGGACUGUCCCCAUGGGACUUGGAAGGGAAAGGGGAACCGAAGGGAAUAUGAAGCCCAGGCUACUGGCUGUGCUGUGAAAAAUAAAGCCCUUUCUCUCUGACUCAGGUGUUUUCUGCCAUCAUUUGUGGAGCUGUUAGAUGAGCUUGUUAGCUUGCAAGUAGGGUAAAAUCUAACAUGAUUCUGAAUAGUAUCUAGCCAUACUAUACCCAGCUCAUAGCAGUUGUUCCAAGAAAUAUUUGUUGAAUUAAUUAGUGAAUACCGGG